UAAAUUUAAACAUUUUAAAUUUAUACCUACCUUAUGAUCCAGUAACUUUACUCCUAGAUAUGUACUUAAGAGACAUGAAGACAUAUGACCACAGGAAGACCUGUACAUGGAAGGUCCAUUCAUAGUAGCCCCAAACUGGAAACAAUCCAAAUGUCUAUCAGCAGGUGCAGGGGUAAACUGUGGUAUAUCCGUAGGAUGGAAUAUUACUGGGCAAUCAAGAGGAGUGAACUGCUUACACCUGCAACAAUGUGGACGGACCUCCAAAACACCAGGCUGAGGGAAGGAAGGCAACAUGAAAAAAUAUAUAGGUGUGAUUUCAUUUAUAUGAACACUAGAAGAACCAGUCUAAUCUAUGGUGACAGCUGAUUGGUGGUCUCCUGGAGCUGGGGAUUGAGAGCACUGACUGAGAAAGGACACGGAGAACUUUUUGGGCUGAGGGGAAAAGUUCAAAGACCUUUGGUGACACGUGUGUGUAGAGAACUGGAAAACGGACAGCAGCCGUGUUGUUCUUCAGUUCACGAGCUAUCUCACCGAAUCCGUGAACCGCGUGCCGGCCAUAGCACGGGAGAAAGUAACUCUAUAACGCUGAGGGGCACAUCUCCGUAGGGCUGCCUCCUGAACACUUAGAGGGUUUAGGUGAGGGCGGAGAGAGGGGCAACUGGAAGGAAAGAAUCAGUGUUGAUCUGACUCACCCUUCGGGCUCUGCGUUGAGCCUUCAUGGUCUAACAAGAUUUCCUUUGAGGUAAGAGAAUAUACCUUGCUUCCCUUCCACAGCUACAAGGGAUUUCAAGGUCAGAAACCUGUGCACGGAAAGAAAAUACCAGGAAAGACAUGUGUGGUGAGCUCUGUGACCUUGGGUCGCUAGUCAGUCUCAGAGCGUCUGAGGUAUGUCCCUGACAGUGACCUCCGGUUAGACCUCGGGUCCCGAGCCAGCUCCCGCCUCAGCACCUGGCUUCCCCAGCCUGCACUCUUGGCAGCACUUUCUCUCCUUGAUCCCAGUGCUAACAGCAACCCAGGCAAGACAGCCCCAUCCUGGACCUGCCCAGGCCCUUCCCGGGGGUCAGCACCAGGGAAGAGGGGGAGAGGAGGAAGCCGCAGCAGCUGGGCCGGUGGGACGGGUGAACCCAGCGGAGGACGGGAGGAGGUCAGGAGGGUUCCGGGCCUGAGACGGGGGCCCUGGGGCUGUUAGCCGGCCUGGGAGCUGGCAGCGUGUUGGUUUGCGUGUGGGAGUGAUUUUUUUGUUGAUUUCCAUGUGUGUACGCAUCAGGGCUGGGACUCUGAGAGGGCAUGUCUCUACUGUUCACCGCAGUGUGCCUAGCGAGAGGCAUCAUCGGGGCACUGCCAGAAGGGGGGGCCCACAAAGCAUCUGUCCUCGGAGAGAGAACAUGCGCGCCCGAGGCGGGAGGUUCUGCUGUUUUUUUUUACUGCUGUAUCUUCUGCGCUUGCCUGCCGUAUAAUAGACACGAAACAAAUACUUGCUUGUUGAAUGAAUUAAGGAUUUAAAAAUCACAAUCAAGGCUGGAAGCCUUUUUUUUGAAGGUUGUCAUCUGGGGAGCUCUGGGGCAGAAAUUUUGCAGAGCCUGAAUUCAAGAUCUAUCCAUCUGUUUAUUGAACACCUACUGUAUGCCCGGCACAGGGAUAGAUGUCUGAGGUAGAGAAAUGAAUCAGGCAUGAUCUCUGUCUUCAGAAGGAUCCCAGGAAAUUUGAAACAAAUUAAUGGGGGGAAAAACGCUGCUGGAAUUAGGUGGAACCAGAGAGGAAGUCGGCAGAAAUGGAUUGAAGCAUGGGUGGUUGUAUUAGAAGUUCCUCUCAGCCUAAAUUUCCUGACCUGUAAUGGGGGAUUAAUAACCGCUUCGGUUUACUGUAGGGGUUCUUGCGAGAAUUCGAUGAGCUAUCGCGUGAAGCUGGCGCGGCGCAGGGCGUGGCACGCAGGAGCAGGGGCUCACCAACGGCUUCUCAGAGGAGCGACCCAAGCGGGGUCUUUGGGGAUGACGGCAUGUUGGCCAGGUGGUCUCAGAAGAGGGUGGGGUAGGUGGCCUGAUGGUAAGGAUGGGACACAGCCCGUCUAGCCCAGCAGAUGACGAGGCCUCAGGAAGCCAUGGAGGGGGUGUUUAAAGUAGGAAUUGCCCUGACCUCCUCCCCCCCUACCCCUCAACACACAGCAACCGGAAGGCUCUGCUCUUUUCCAAGGAAUUUCUGUGGUGUCAUCUAUGCAUUUAGGGCCUUCUAAGGCAUGAUCGCUAGGAUGUGCUUCAGCUACACCCCCACGCACACAGAAGAUACCCACACAGUUCAGUUGUGGGUGACCCCUUGUGAAUUGUCAGUCUGCGUGAAGGAGGUACCCCCUAAUGCGCCUCGGUGUCAGGCUCUGUUCUAAGCAUUCUACCUCUACUGACUCUUUAAACCUUCACAACAAGCCAGUGAGGUAGGUGCUAUGAUUUGCCUCAUUUUUUUAAUUGAGAAAACAGGGACACAGAGGGGUUAAGUCAUUUGCCUGAGGCCACACAGCUGGGAACAUGUGGAGGUUGGCUUCAAACCCGGGCAGUCUGGUUGGAGCUCUUAGCCACCACUUGACGUUACAAACUGAAGAAGGGGUAGAGAAUCACAAUCUUUACUGUUUAUGUAGGUGUAAAAACUUCUUAAGUUUGCUUUGUCAGGAGUAUUAGAGACCUAUAUACCGCUAACCCUUUUCAGUUCUAGGGUCCUGGAGACUGAAAAAUCUGAAGACUGUCUAGACACUCUUCCCAGAGAAACACAUGGUUGCAAAAGUAAUUUUGGGGGGUUUGUGGGUCUCCUGAAGCCCUUACAGGCCUGUGAACUUGGGGCUCACGGGUCCAAGAUUUCCUAUUUGGCCUGGAGACGAGGGUAGGGCCGGAGGGUUGCUGCAGAGAUCAAGCAGGAGGCGGACUCAGACGUCCACAGCAGCCCUUAGCCACCCAGCUUAGUGCUCCGGAGGUGAAAGGAAUCAUUUCAAACUCUGAAUCAUCUGGAGCUGUUUCUUUACAUAUUUCUGCAAGAAAAGAAGCCUUUAUUUGGAAUGAUUUGCCAACAUAUUAUAAAUCAAGAGACAUACAACACAGACUUAAAGGAGCUACAGAAACUUACAAAGCCUAGGAGCUAUAAAAAUAAACUAUUUCCAGUGUUCCCAUAGCAAGACAUGUAAACUCAACUCCAGGGAAAAGAACAAAUGAAAUCAGCUCAAUUUCCAAGAGCUUACAAAUCUAGCUAAUAUAAUGCACAGCUAUUUUCUUCUUUAAAAAUUGAAUCAAGGAAAUGAACAAGAUUAAGAAGUAAAAAAAAAAUCAGAACCGGCAAUGAGAAGCAGCAGCUGUGACUCUCCCCGCCUGGAGUCCCAGACCCUAAAGAUGAGGAAAUGGGAGGCUUAGAAAGAUCAUUGCUUGCCCAAGGCCACACACAGUCGAUGUUCCAGCCCGAUUCCAACUUCCAGUCAGCGUUCCCAGCCCUUCACCAGAGCUGUCCGUAAUGUUCUAAUACUCCCUGGGACAUUCCUAUUUCCUGCUGAGAAAUAAGAAAACAACAAUGCUUCCCAAAGGCUGGUAAGCCUCAGCCUUGAGGCCUGGAAUCUCCAUUUUAGGAAAAGUGUUUCCAAGGGUGUCAAGCUCGGAAAGGAAAUGGGCCUGUGAGCCUCCUGGGAAAGAAUAUGAGAACCCACCAUCAGGAUUUCGCUGCAUUCCUCAGCAGCACGGGGCUGCCUAGGAAGUUCAUUUUGAUAAAAAAUAUAUAUCAAAAUGAAAGUGUGUGUGUGAGUGGGUGUGUGAAACAGAUCUGAGAAACGGACAGGCAAAAGUAAAGGAACUGAGUAUAAGGAGAGAAGUCAAAGGCAAAUAGUUUUCUUUGCAAAAAGCCCUCUUCAGUGCAUUUGAUUUUUUUUUUAUUAUGGAAAUAUUCAAACAUACACAAAAAUAAAGAAAUAGUGUAAUGAACCACUAUGUUCCUGUCAUUCGACUUCGAAAAUAUGAACUUUGUCAGUUUUUUUCACCUUU